CCGCCCUCGCCUCUCCUUGUCUCCAACCCUCCCCUCGUCACCUACCCGCGUGGCGCCUCUACACCACCGGACCACCUCUCGAGCCCUCGUCAACGCCGCGCGCAGCGCCUCUCCUCCACCUCUAUAGCCCUCGUCACCUCCGCGCGUAGAGACUCAUAAAGCCCCUCCCUCGAACCCUCGCAGUUGCCGUCUUUGUCAUCAUGCUCCACCUCUCAUCACCUCAAUUUCAUCCUCUUACAAGCCUCAUGCCGGCGAAAAUCUCAACCCGAACUUUUGCAAAAAUCUAGUUCGGCCGUGCCCAGGCAUGUCGAGAGGUGUCCAAUCGUAUGAGAGGGUGUCGGAUACGGUGUCCGACCGUGUCGACCGCGUAUCCGUGUAAUGAUGGUUAUGCUUGCAAUCAGUUUAGAAAAGGAUUACCAAAGACAGGAAAAAGAAGCAGCUUUGUUUGCAAAGAAGCAAAUGAGUUACAAAUUGUUGGAUGCUGAUGAUGACGAUGAUGAAGGAGCUGGCUCAGUAACUGCCACCUCUGCAGCUUCUCAGCCUGGAAAAAAAGAGUCCCAUAGAAAGCGUUUUAGGAGGAAAAAUGAAACCCAAGAUGAUGAAGAUGAUGAGGUGACUACAUGCAAAGAUGUUGGGCGCCAAGUUCGAAGCCGUACUUCUGAGGUUGAUGAUGGCGAUAAUGACAGUGAGUCAGAAGCAGCUAGAAUACGUGAUCAAGAAGCAAGAGAGCAACUGGAAAGGAAUAUUAGAGAAAGAGAUGCAGCUGGAACUCGGAAGUUGAUGGAAUCCAAGGUUUCGAAGGAGGAAGAGGAGAUGAUUCGAAGAUCUGCAGCUAUGGAGCAAGACGACACUUCAGAUCUAAGAGUGGUGUCGAGACAAAUGUAUUUUGCAGAAAAGGCGAGAGAAGAAGCUUUUGGAGCUGCGGUAUGGACUGCGGGAUGAUAUUAUAGACCAUGAGUAUCUCUUUGAGGGUGUUAAGUUGACAGAAGCAGAAGAGCGCGAGUUUAGGUACAAGAAACAAAUUUUUGAGCUUGCAAAAGAGCAUGUAGAAAAUCUAGAUGAUAUUGAUGAGUAUAUAUAGGAUGCCUGAUGCAUAUGAUCAAGAGGGGGGUGUAAAUCAAGAGAAAAGAUUUGCUGCUGCUGUGCAGGGGUACAAGGAUUCUUCUGUGGGUGAUAAAAUGAAUCCGUUUGCAGAACAAGAAGCAUGGGAAGAAAACCAAAUCGGUAGGGCAACCCUAAAGUUUGUUUGGCUCUAAGAA